UGAGAUCAAGAUAUGCAAAAUACACACGGAUCUGAACAUUUCUGAUCCGUUGACAAAACCACUCCCGCAGGCUAAGCAUGAUGCGCAUGUAAGAGCUAUGGGUAUUAGGUACCUUCUAGAUUGACUCUAGUGCAAGUGGGAGACUGUUGGAGGUAUGCCCUAGAGGCAAUCAUAGAGAUGAUGAUAUUCCAUUUGUAUCCAUGAUUUGUAUGUUGUGUUCAUUGAAUAUCCAUUGAAGGCUACUUGAAUUGAUUUGCAAUUAUGUGAAUUGUAUGUGAAACUCUUUACUUGUAUGGUUAUUCUAAAGUUAUCCCUAGUCGGAGUUCAUGUGAGGACACACAUGAAUAUUAGACUAGCACAUGUAUUAGUUGAUGACUAUGUUUCACAAGUCAUGGACAUGGAGAUGUUGAACUAAUAAUGUGGACACAUGUGGAGACAUGUGCUAGGACUGACCCAACACGAGAAGUAGUUCUCUCUUUAAACAACAUAUACGCUUUGUCCUUAGACCUGAGAUUGUCGCAUGUGUUCUAGAUGUGGAUCGACCUACUUAGGGGCUAUCAAACGCUACGCCGUAACAGGGUAGUUAUAAAGGUAGCUUUCGGGUUUGUCGAGAAGCAUGCUAUGAGACAUGGUCAAUCAAGAUGGGAUUUGCCCCUCUCUGAUUGAGAGUGAUAUCUCUGGGCCCCUCGAGUGAUCGGAUCCGAAAAUGCAUGGCCAUGCUACAUACGGUUAAGAGUUAACCUACAAAGGGAUUCCGAAUCACAGGAUCGAGAAAGAGCGGUCGGCUUGAAGCUAGACCAAAUAUCGUGAGGCAAAGGGAAAGGGAAUAGCAUGUAUAUUAUGUUGUGAUGGUUCGUCUGAUAUGAUCUUCGUGUGCGUAUAGGAGUUGGCACGUCUUGCUAGAGGCCGCUACCGACUAUUGGGCCGAGUAGGGGUACUCGGGCCAUGUCUAUACGUAUCCGAACCCAUAGGGUCACACACUUAAGGGGCUGGAAGCCCAAUUCGGAUCAGAUCCGAGUUGGAUUAGGUUUAGAAGUACUAAUGGGCCUCGGAUCCAGAGGCCCGUCAGGAACCUCUAUAAAUAGAGGGGUGGGGGCGCCCUAGGGUUUACACCUUUUUGGCGAAACACACCUGCCGCGCCUCCCACGCCCUCGCCUGUUGCAAUUCGCGGAUCUAGCAGUUCGGCUUGCGACGCUUCCUCCCUGCACGUGUGGAUACCUUGGAGGUGUUGCGCCUGCAGCACUUGGACGAGCCAUUGACGAGCCGCCGACGAGCCACGACGAGCCGACGACGAGCCGCGGCACCGGAGGCGAUCUUGCUGCACGUGGACGAUCUGCUGAGGAGCUGCUGGACGUGACGUGAUCGACUACGUACGACUACGUUGAUCGACUACGUACGACUACGUGAUCGUCUUCACUGCAUCGACGCAUAUCUACAUCUUCCGCACCAGUAGUGCGUCGAGUGGAAAUCCCGUGAUCCUUAUACGGCAGUUCUUCCUGGUUAUACGCGGUAGAAAUUUUGAUUUACGCUAGUGUAGCCUACCUCGUAUCCCAACAAAUUCCUGUGCGUGUCACACUAUCUAUCUAUCUAUCUUACCCUUGCCUAUAGUAUUGUCUCUAUCCAUCUAUGGUAUACUCAUAUGCAUAGUAAACUCUUUUGACCUACCCACCUUCUUUUGGGAAAUAUGAUACGCUUGGGAAUACUCUUGGGUGAAAUGCUACAACGUUAUAUCCCUGCGCUUGCAGAUUUAUUCAUGAUUAUAAUAUAUACCAACAAGCAUUUCUGGCACCUUUGCCGGGGAAGCCACAGGUUAAAAGUUUUUACUUUGUAUAUGUUUAUAUUCACAAUUGGUAGAUCUCUACUUAAGCAGGCUAACCUUGAUAUGUCCUCUAUCUUUGAUGUGAAGACAGGUAGUGUAUGACUGGUUUCGACUUGCCGACUAAUUUCAUUGAGAAUCUGGAGUCACUUGUGAGAAGGAUACGAUCUCGUGUUGUUCCUCCUUAGAUUACUCUCUUGGCAGUCGAUCAAGCUUCCUUUGCACCAUCUACGUCAAACGCUAUGGCCUAGAACACUCUUCGUGAGUACUCCACUCCCUCAGCCUCUCAGGUGCUGAAAGGCCUUGAGGUGAACAUAGGGAACGCAAGCUUCGAGAUGAAGACGGGUCUCAUUACCAUGGUGCAGGCUAGCCCAUUCUGUGGGAAACCCAAUGAGGACGCGAGCGCCCAUCUGCAGCAGUUCUUGGACCUCUGCAACACCUUCACCAUUAGAGGGGUGAGUGCAGAUGCUAUUCGUCUCCAACUAUUCCCGUUCUCUCUCCUUAGGAGAGCGAAGCAAUGGUUCUAUGCAAGCCGUUUGGAGAUUAAUAUGUGGGAUAAAUGCUUGGCAAAAUUCCUCACGAAGUUCUUUCCGUUGGGCAAAACCAACGCCCUUCAUGGAAGGAUUUUGAGUUUCUAGGAAGCAGCUAUGGAGUUAAUUCCUGAGGCGUGGGAAUGGAUUCAGAAGUACAUCCUAGUCUGUCUUUACCACGGGAUGGAUAAUUGGCUUAUUCUUCAGAAUUUCUACUACGGGUUGACUCCGACAGCCCAAGGCCAUGUUGAUGCUGCUGCUGGAGGAGCCUUCUUCUCACUUACCAUUGAUGCUGCUACAACAUUGAUCGAGAAGAUGGUCUCUAAUCAAGGGUGGAGUGAUGAAUGAAUCCAACCCUGUCAGAGGGGUACACAUUUCGUCAAGGAAGCGAACAUGCUUACGACUAAGAUGGAUCUCCUCAUGAAGAGAUUGGAUGACUACACCAAAAAGAAAGCUGCCAUGUCCAACACCGUCCAAACUAUGAAUUCUCACAUGACAUGUGAGGUUUGUGGAAACACUGACUUGAGGAAUAACUGUCUCUCAGGAGGAUGUGUUGUACAUGAACAACAACAACAACCGAUAUCGUCCACAAGGAGGCCAAGGGUGGAAUCAGCAACGCCCUUACCAAGGAGGUAAUAACGGCAAUUCUUUCAAUCCAAACCAACCCUCCUUUAGAGACCUCAUUUUUGGGCAAGCUAAGAUCAAUGGAAGCUUCACUAAAAAGUUAGCUGCCAACGAGAAAACCUUGGAAAGCCUCAACAUAAAACUUGAUGGUCUUUCUUUUGCUUUCAAGAACCACUGAAUUUUAAUAAAAUUCUAGAAACCCAGUUAGCUCAGCUAGCCGCUGCUGUUCCCUCUGCUGAGAUCGGGAAGAUCCUGGGACAACCUGAGUCUUCUUGUGAAAAUGUUAGUGCAGUGACCGCCAGAUGGGGUAAGCCAUCUUGGAGGCCAUUUGUUGCUAACCAUGCAGGAAAAGCCCAUACACCAAGGAAGGAAUCAUGGGAUGAACUAGUAGCUACAAGCAAGGAAGAUCCGAGAUACCCGGUGAUCAGCUGCUCGAUAUGGGACUACUACAUCGAGCAGGACCUUUGUGACCUUGGAGCAAGCAUCAACAUCAUGCCCACGGUGAUGUUUGAAAGGUUGAACUAUCCUACUAUUUCCUCUACCUUGAUAAGGUUGCAGCUAGUCAAUUCGUCGAUCCGAUACCCUGAGGGAAUAGUAGAGAACAUUCCGGUGAAAAUUCGAGGUUCCUACAUCCCCAUGGAUUUUGGGGUCCUUGAUAUGGAAGGUGACUUGGGAAUGCCAUUCAUUCUUGGGCGACCAUUCCUAAAUGACGCCAAAGCAAGGAUCGAUGUUGGAGCUGGAGAAAUCCGUUUCCGCAUUAGGAGGAAGAAUAUGAUGUUCAAGUUUCAACCAAGGGAGGAGCAAUGCUACCUGAUCCAUCAAGAUGAUGAGUGGCACAUGGAGUGGAUGGAGCCACAGCCCCAAUCCAAGAAGCCACCGACUGCACGAACAAAGCCUAAGAAGAUCAAGAAGGUAUAGAGGAAGGUGGAACAAGCAUCUUCAUCCACUUCUCCAGGAUGGGAUGCCAAGUGAUAAACACGACGGAGAAGAGUCCCGCUCAUCGGACUCAAAAUGGUGAGCCCUUCGCUGAAAGGUAAAAUCGUUAGUUAUCUCAUAUUUCCCUUUCAAAAUUUUGAUUUCCCCAUCAUUUGCUUUUUUCAAAUGCAUAUUUGAUUUUUGCAACCCACAUUUGCAUGCUGGAAUUCUUUUGGCCAUUUUUCCCUUUUCGUAAAAAAAUUCUGAAAAUGAUUUUUGGGUUUAAAUAUCUUUGAAAAAUCUUUUGAGCAUUUAUUGAGCAAAUUUUGGCCGAGGCACCUAGGCGUGACAUCAUGUAGCCGUUGGAAAGCGAUCGGCCAAAGCUGGCAGCAAGUGGGGCGACAAGGGGUCGGCCGAACCGUUGGUUCGGUCGAACCAGCCCAACAGUCGUUGGGGCCCACUUGCCACUAAUAGCUAGUAGCCGUUGAGCCUUGGCUGUUUAAACUUGGCAACUCGUGCGGGGAGGGGGGGUGCCCGAGGUAGUGUUUUGGUUAGUGGUGCUCGUCGAGAUCAGGAACUCGAAGGUAAACACAUACACAUGAUUUAGAUAGGUUCGAGCUGCUGAAUAGUGUAAUACCCUACAUCCUGUGUGUUGGUUGGAUUGUAUUGCUUUGGAGGGGGUCCCUGCCUCGCCUUAUAUUGCUGGGGGCCGAGUUACAAGUUGGUUGGUUACAAGAAUAAUAGUCGGAUACGACUAGAGGAGUUCUACUCUUGUUACAAUAAGUACUUUUCCUAAUCCUCGGCUAUGUCAUAUCUUUCCAUGUAAGACUAUGUUGUCCUGUGCUAUGGUCUCCAUGUCAGAUGCGUCUUGGUGUCCAGCCCCAUAUUUAGGACUGUCCAAACCUUCUGGUGGGUCCAUAGAUAUAUGUAUGACAUUGCCACCCCCGACUGCCUGGAUCCUUUGCUCUAUAAAAAGGACCCGAGAGGGGGUGAUCUUCAUCCAUUACUUACAUUUCAUCCAUUCACUCCCUCUCCUCUCUUUGCUCCUGAGUUUUCGUGGAAGUUUUUCUCAAAGUUGAGUGCAAGCAAUCUCUCUCUUGAUUUCUUUACUGCAAGAUUGGAGGAGCAACAUUUGGGUAGGAUUUUCAUUCGAUUACGCUAAUGUAACCUGUUCCGAGUUGCUCUUGUGUUUCCUUUAUCUUCAGUGGCAAGCAUGAAGCGGGUUGCCGGUGCGUUCAGGAGGAUGACGUGUUCAAGCUCGUCCCGUUCGUGGGCUAGUGCGAGCUCUCUUCACUCCUCUGAACCAACACCGAGCACAACCUCGAUGGACUAUGAAGAAGAGCAAGCUGAACCGCAAGUUGAAGCUAUGGAGGUUGACGCAAGUGAUGCCCCCUACCUCAACUUGCAAGGCGAUCGAGAGAAGCUAGCCUAUGCUAUCCUCAAGGACCGGGCUUCGGUCACACCAAGGCCUACGACCCGGAACUUUUGGAGAAAAUAGGUAUGGAUAUCAACUUCGCCUCUUUUUGGUCUACUAUUGGGUGGGAUGAGUUUUCACUGGUUGCAGAGCUUGGUUCUCAGCCCCUCACCAUCCAGUUUCUUUGCACUCUUCAAGAGGUGACGGAUGUUUUUUUCCGACUCUUCGGGACAGAAUACCAGUAGUAGUGAGCAUGAAGCUAUCUUGGGGGAGGACCCCCACAAGAGAGGUAACUUUUAUCUUUACCGCUUUCAGAAUAUGCAUGAUAAAAACAAAUAAAAAUCUUAAAAAAACUAAAAAGACCAAAAAUAUUUACUACUUUUCUAUGCGCGGUAAGAAUAUUUUUUCUCCAUGGUUGAAAUGAUAAAUAGUUGCUAUGUUUAUUUCCUCUCAUAUGUCUUGCUACAGUAUCCUACCUAAGUUUUGAGUUUGUUGGCUUGCAUGAUCAAACCUUAGCUUGAAACUUGUGGGUAGCAAAAAACAUGAUCCAAGUCUAGGUUGUUAUGAGAUGUGAUAUGGUAGAAUAGUGUUGUUAUGAUCUUGUUCUACGUGAUGCUCAAUAUCUAGAUUUUUAUUUUUGAAAAUACUAAAAUGAUAAGUUCCUCAAUGAUGAGAAAUUCCUAUCCAAGGCCAUAUGUUGAUCCUAUUACAUAGCCUCCACAUAUGCAGCUUGUUCUCUUAUUGAGUUUGUCAAAUUGUUGUGACCCUUAGUGAGAAAAUUGUCAUACUCCCAUGAUCAAGAUCACGUACACGCCACCACCAUAUUCUAAACUUCUACACUGGAAGUUCGCAAUCAUCAUUUCAUCCAUCCACAAAAUAAAGCUCCAUGUUGUUCUAUAACCUCUCUCUCCAAAGUUAUCCUUGCAAAAGAGACUUGGGCUAUGCAAAAAGAAAUAAAAUACAUGCUCGUGAAAGCAUGAUGGAAAAAAAGAGAGAAAAGAUAGCCCAUGUCUCAAAAUAAAGACAGCAAGGAGAGAGAAGGAUCAUACAAAAAGGAGUCCAUAUACCAGUGUUGACGCCGGAUUUUGACAUGUGUUUUGAAUUGGCAUCGAAGAAGGAGAAAGGGGGCGGAUGCGACGGGCUAGAAGCUACAGUUAGGAAUCGGCCGAUUGAAGCUAUAGCGUUUUGGCCGACUGGCGGAAGAGGAGGCUGGCCUAUUGGGAGUCAAAGUGGCUUUGCCAGUUUGGGCCUAAGGUAGGCCAGGAUAAAAGAUUUGCUGAAGAAAGAGAUAGGCCCGUAGGAAAGUAAUAACCAACUCAAGUACGAGUCGAGUUUGUAGAUAUUUGUUGUCGUUUAAAAUUAGAGAUAAAUUCUAGUUGGUUAAGAAAUCAGUUGUAACAGGUUAUAAAUAGCCACCUCUAGGUUUGUGAAGAACAACACAUCAAUCAAUACAACAAAUCUACUUUUUCCUCGUACUUUACUUUCAAGUUGGCGACUUCGCCAAAAUACUUUUUCUUUCACGAGUUCGUACGGGUUGGCAGGGCUGCAUCGAAACAAUUCUCCGGCCGAUUCUGUAAGUUCCUCUUAUCGAGUAAUAUCUAAGCUUUAUCUUCGGGCGCAUCGCUAUUGUUUCAUUUAGAUUUAUUCACCAGUUAUCGAUAUCAACUAGAAUUGUAGGUUCUACCUGUUAUUUUAGUUUUUAUCACCAGUUAUCCAGCUUGAGAUACGAACUAUCGGCUUUUAUUACUUUUAUUCUUUGUUAUCACAUAGCUGAUUAGAUCUAUCCCAAGUGUUGCUUCUCUAGCGUUGUUUAGCUUGCUCUAGUAGUUUUCUUUACAAUCGCUACACGGUAUCGGGUGUUUUAUAGCUGGUCACCUCUACAGUGAAUCGGCCGAUUUGCUGAUACGCUUUUAAGACAGAUCGGAACUUUAGCCGAUCGAGGCUCCUGGAAUUUAACAUUUUUGUUUCCUUGUCAAUCAACAGGUUAGAUUGACUGGCACACCACGCGAACCGUACCAGGGUGAUAACCCGAAUAGGAGUUAAGCAGAUUCUCCCGAGUCGUGUGUCCGACGCUGAGGAUCGUUGGCUGAUUUUCAGCGCCACCAACCAUCCACCAUAUUCACCAUCCACACACAUGCACAUCUUGAUCUGGUUGUAUGACUUGCUUCUCCAAAGGAUUCGGUCUUUGACUCAGCAAUAAAUGAGGAAUAGGUAUGCCUUCAUUUUUCCCUACCUACAGCUCCACAUAAAAUCCUAUUAGGAGUAGGUUGUGAAAGAAAGGCAACCUAUACCUUGGUGAGGAAUCAUACACAUUGAGCGAUCCGAGAGUAUCACUUGAGGAACUUUGAUUUCUUUUGAAAAACUUUGCAAAACCUCCGGAUUGACCGCUGAUCAAAGGACGAGUGAAUGGUGCUCUAUAAAACCAUUCAAUCUCUCAGCCGCCCAAGACAAGGUGAAGCUACAUGCCCCAUAGAAGUAAGGUAAGAGGUAAGAUCAAUACCAACUUAUUCAAUUCUUGGUAGAAUAUUUUGUUGUAGGCUUGGCAUGAGUUAGGAAUAUGUAGCAACUGCUGAUCAACCAACCUAAGUCUUAGCACUUGUUGGGACGAGUAAAGUAAUAGCUUGGGGGAGUUAUUGACGGUCAUUAAGUACAAAAUAUGACCAUCAAUAUACUCAAGAACAAAGGAGGAUUGUCAUUUCUUACAUGCAUAUUUGGUUUCGAAUAAUGUAAUUCCACUUGUCCUUGGAGAAUAUUUAGUUGCAGGUGAAUAAGCACAAAAGGAUGGAGAAAGCACCCUCUACGGAUCCAAGAAACAUGCUUCUGGCCAAUGGGAGGUUACCAUGUGUGCAUCCCAUGUAUUGAAGGACCCACAAACUACCACAACCGUCUUAAUCAUCCAGAUAACACACACAACCACCAUUGGGACCCACAUGUCACACUACCAAGCGAAGGCGGUUGUGAGAGGGGCCAUAGGGGUUCGGCCGAACCCUUGGAUCGGCUGAACCACCUCUGGCUCCCCUCGUGAUCAGCUUCCGUGUGGCAACUGGUGAUGACUCCCCUACGUCGGUUAUGGCAUAUUCCUAGAAGAUCCUCUACCAGAACCGCCUCUUUGAGCCUAUAAAUAUGAGGGGAGGGACUCCAUUCUAGGACACACACAACUAGUGAAUCACUCUCUUUCUCUUAGUUUCCAAGUUAGUGGAGUUAGGCUGGAGUAGCUCUACUUCAGGUUCCAAGUCUCCUUGGAGGCUAGGGUAUGGCUCUUGUAUUUGUUUUUCCUAGGAUGACUUUAUUCUAUCCAAAGUAUACAUCUUCUUUAUAUAGUCUUGUGUUUGGUCCUCAUAUGCAUGGGUUAGAUAUAUGUAUCCUUGCUAUGUUGAUGUGCUAGGAUUAUAUGCUUGUAUGCUAGUCAUAUACCCUUGCUACAUAGUGUAGUCUUAUAUACGUCCAUGUAUUCCUUGAGACCAUGCUAUAUGUUAUACUCUGUGUGCAUAUAUAUCUUGUAUAGCUUAGUUGAUCUAUGCUACGAUAUCGGUUCAAUGGGUAUAUCUAUGGUGGCUUCAGCCAUUGAUACAAUAGCCUGGUAUAGCUGGAGUGUUGUUAACAAUGCAAGCAUGGUGCUUGGAUUGCUUAGCCUCAUUCGAUAUGUGUGGAACGCCAUAGGUGGUGACAGCCCUGUUGGUCCUUCAUAAUCCCCCACGUUCGGGUAUGCUGUAGGAGUUUGGAAAUUAGUAGUAACUUUACUGGGCGGAACCAGUAUGGGUACUAUGUCCCCAUGUGUUCCUGUGUGCAUAGGCCUGAGUUCUAUACAAUGUAUAUGUAUGUUAUGCUUGUAUGAUCUGUGCAGUAUAUAGGAAGUACAUAUGAACCUAGAGCUAACUCUUAGUCCUUCUCCCUAGAGAUGAUUCCCAUGUGUGUCACACUAUCUAUCUAUCUUACCCAUGCAUCGAGUAUUGUCUCUAUCCAUCUAUGAUAUACUCAUGUGGAUAGUAAACUCUUUUGACCUAUCCGCCUCCCUUUGGGAAAUACGAUACCCUUGGAAAUACUCUUAGGUGAAAUGCUACAACGGUAUAUCUGUGUGCUUGUGGAUUUAUUCGUGAUCGUUAAAUAUACCAACACAGAGCUCCCCCUCGACAGCCUGAUCCGCCGCUAGACCAUCUCCUCUACUUACCCCACGCCGCGACGCCACCUCUACCCCGUCCUCACCUCCUCGUCUAUAUGGCCACCCUGACAGCGCCAGUGCGCCACCCUAUCCCUACCACCAUAGAGCACUACCACAGCCAUGCAAUCCCCCCUGGUCAGGACACUUCCCUUCUCCCCUUUCUUCAUCACCAAGCAAAGUCGGCCACCCUCAUCUAUCCACGCUACAUGGCGGCCGUGCCGUGGUCUUCCCAGCAUAUAAAUAGGGGUAGUCGCACUCCUCGGUUCUCCACACCGAGCCAGUCGCUCCGGUCUUCACGACUGCGCCCCUCACUCUCUCAUCUCCAACCCUAGGAAUGGGUCGCCCAUGCCCUUCUCUUCCCCCCCCUCCGCUUGAUCCGUGGUGGCUGGAGCUCCAAGAUCGGGGAGCUCCCCGAGCUCACCCAGCCCCCAUCCAUGGUUGGCAGGCGUCGGGAGGAAGAUGACCCCAGUCGUCCUUUUUUUUACCCUGCACGCCUCCCCUCUCUCAUGACUGACAAGUAGGGCCACCACUUCCUACCCCUCUGGUGGACUCGGUCCACAUGGACCAAAGGUCCAGCAGCCUUGGUCCACACCAACCCACGAGCAGGUCCACCAAACAAUACCCGGUAGAGGCCCCGCCAGCUGCAUCAGCCUAUGCCAAAUUGCUACGGGCACCUAGUAAGUACACCCCAAAUCUUAUUUAGAGCUCUUCCACUAUUCCAAAAUUUUCCCAAAAAUGUCCAAAAAUACUGAAAAAUAUUCUAAGCCCAUCCAUUUAUUCCUUCUCCAUUGUUCAUUCCAUAUAAUGUUGGAGGUAUGCCCUAGAGGCAAUCAUAGAGAUGAUGAUAUUCCAUUUGUAUUCAUGAUUUGUAUAUUGUGUUCAUUGAAUAUCCAUUAAAGGCUACUUGAAUUGAUUUGCAAUUAUGUGAAUUGUAUGUGAAACUCUUUACUUGUAUGGUUAUUCUAAAGUUGUCCCUAGUCGGAGUUCAUGUAAGG
rnacentral:lncRNA from 1 species